rnacentral:rRNA from 1 species
GACGAACGCUGGCGGCGUGCUUAACACAUGCAAGUCGAACGGAAAGGCCCUGCUUUUGUGGGGUGCUCGAGUGGCGAACGGGUGAGUAACACGUGAGUAACCUGCCCUUGACUUUGGGAUAACUUCAGGAAACUGGGGCUAAUACCGGAUAGGAGCUCCUGCUGCAUGGUGGGGGUUGGAAAGUUUCGGCGGUUGGGGAUGGACUCGCGGCUUAUCAGCUUGUUGGUGGGGUAGUGGCUUACCAAGGCUUUGACGGGUAGCCGGCCUGAGAGGGUGACCGGCCACAUUGGGACUGAGGUGCGGCCCAGACUCCUACGGGGGGCAGCGGUGGGGAAUAUUGCACAAUGGGCGGAAGCCUGAUGCAGCAACGCCGCGUGCGGGAUGACGGCCUUCGGGUUGUAAACCGCUUUCGCCUGUGACGAAGCGUGAGUGACGGUAAUGGGUAAAGAAGCACCGGCUAACUACGU